rnacentral:lncRNA from 10 species
CCAGAAUGCACGUGCCUUGGUUGCAGAGUGAGCCCCUCAGCCCCGAAUCUGGAGUGGCCGCGGCCGGGAAACAGGAACCCGGGUUUAUUAUUAGCCGUCGGGGAAGAGGGGCCGGCAGCAGGUACAACUCCAUCCUGGGACUCUUACGUAAUAAAGGGUGACCGGGCAUGCUGGGUGCACGUGGACGCGCGGUGCUCCCGCAGUGGCCCUGGCCUUGGUCAGCUAUGGGGGGAGGGGAGCGUCAGAGGCUUUUGCCUCCCUCCUGGCGGGGUGGGAUCUUUCCCAAUCUUUCCUUUAACAGUGGUUGCCGGGGAUGAAGAGGGGCACACUAUCAGAUCUGCUGAUUCUUUGAAGAGAUCUGCAAGUGGCAAUGGGGAGAAGUCCAUUUUUGUCCAAGUCGGCUACACAGUGAUGCUGGAGAGCCUGGGCCAUGUGGCCUUUUGGCUGCCAAGAGGCCAGGAGAGGGUGACAGUAGUUAGGUCUAGUCUUGGGUGUCUUUCACCAUUUAACAGAGAAAUGGGGAGGUGUCUAAUUAUUUUUGAGGGUGCUUGUGUGAAGUGUUCCUUUCAAAAGAUAGUUCUUAAAGCACUGGGUCAUUUAAUAGGGCCUAAGCUAUGUACCGAAUCGCUGGAUUUAACUUUUAAGAGCCUUGCACCUUGAAUUUCACUUUGAGACUUCCAAACCACAGCCUAUUUAAUUUUUCCCAUCUCAUGUCCCUUGCCAUAUUCCUCAUCCACCAGUCCUCUCUGGCAGUCCUACAAUUAUGUUCAAUAAGAUUCAAGCUUCUCAUUUUAAAUCCCUUUUCUCGGCCUGAAACGGUGGCUCACGCCUGUAAUCCCAGCACUUUGGGAGGCCGAGGCGGGCGGAUCACAAAGUCAGGGGUUCCAGACUAGCCUGGCCAACAUGGUGAAACCCGGUCUCUACUAAAAAUACAAAAAUUAGCCGGGCGUGGUGGCCAGCGCCUGUAAUCCCAGCUACUCGGGAGGAUGAAGCAGGAGAAUUGCUUGAACCCAGGAGGCGGAGUUGCAGUGAGCCGAGAUCGUGCCACUGCACUCCAGCCUGGGCGACAGAGCAAGACUCUGUCUCAAAUAAAAAAAAAAAAGAUCCCUUUUCUCUAAAACUUAACAGAGGUCUCUGUCCCUAGUACAGUUUUUUCCCACGGGACAAAAAAUGCCUAAGGAAGGGAGAACAUAAUAAAGGGGUUUCUUUCUCUCCCUCUUUCUUUCACAUUAAGACCUACACUUAAAUAUUUUCCAUAGAAAACCAUCUUCCUAAUUGUCUUUUGAAUGAAAUUCUGACUUGGUGCCACAAGGACUAAUCUGUUGACAAAAAACAAACAAAACAAAACAAAGUCAGUGACCCUUGGAGACAGACCUAAGUCUGAGGACCCACUACCCCAAAACGUAUUAGCUCUACAUCACAGCCCAUGUUUUCUUACUUGCAAAACUGGGAUAGACCUAUCAGGGUUUUGAAGGAAGAUCAAUGGAAAGAAAAAUACAGGGAGGCAGGAAGCAUUAUAUAACUUUGAAGCAUUAAAAUAAUUUCACCUUCCUUCUCUGCACACAUAGAAACUUUUCUAGCCUCAGUUUCUUUAUCAAAAAAAUGGAGCUUGUUCCAUGGGCCGUGCCAAGGACUUUGAUUAAGUUUAAAUAUGAUAAUGUAAAUAAAAAUCACUAUGUAAAUUGUAAAGUACAAAGAUUAAUUGUACUUGAUACAGGACCUCAUCAUAGUGAGAGGUGUUUAUGUGAAGAGUCAGAAACCUUAAAAGUGUGGAAAUUGCCUAUGAUGAGCCACAGAUCCUUCCACCCAACCCCCAGUGCUUAAGCAGGAAAAUAAUAUAAAAUAUGUCCAAUGAGAUUGAAAGAGCACUGCAAGAAGAAAACUCGAGAAAAACAGAUAUACAGUUUCUAGUAGCUGAUCUUCUCAUAAAUUAAAGCGUACUUUGUCCCCCUUCCUGGACCCAUUUGGUAUUUUAAGUACGUAUGCACCCGGAUGAAAACUCGGUAUUCAGACUUAACUUACUAAAUGCCAAAAUCUUGCCUCUUUUUCUCUUCUUCCCAGUUCCAACAGUGUGAUAACACACGGAAAACGGAAAUCCAAGGGAUCUAGCAAAAGGAUUCCACCCAGCAAAAACGCCAGCUUGGGAGAGGGCCCCUACCUAACUCCUUCCUUCUGGCCUCCACCCCUCCCCUGAUACGUUUCCUUCCGUCUAGUCUCGAGAUAACCCUUCAUCCCCCAGUUUCUUGACUCUGGCCGCUGUUCUUGAACAUUUCUUAAACACUUUCAGAGAAAGAUGGCUCAUGCACCUGCCUGCAAAACUUCCCAAACCGGGCCUCCCAGCUCCCCCAGACCCCGCAACAACUCACACCCGCCGGGGAAACUCCAGAAGGAAAAGGUCCGCCGGCCAGAGCUCUGGGCCCUUGGAAUCACCCCACCACCGCCCCUCUGGCUUCAGCCAAUCAGAAGCCGUCAGAAAAUAUUAUGCAAAUGAAUCCUGAUGCUCCAGCCAGUCAGAAGCCGCGGAGCCCUCCCCCACGCAGCGUCCUCUUUCACCCCAGCCCCGCCAAGCUGGCUGCCGCGUCCCUGGCAACCGGCGCGCAGCCAGUUCUCCACUACGCUUGGCUGUAAAAAAAUUAAAAUGGUUGCCUGGGGUCACAUGGGAGGGGAGCGGGCUGGCCCAGGCCUAAGGAAGGUUGGAAACCUCACUGAUUGCCCCAGGCACCUUCCCUGUCCCGAUCUGGAACAGGCUGGAGGUGCUGAGCCACCUGCCCGGAAUUCAGUUUGCCUCCAGAAAACAGAAGUCAUCCGUUGAACAAAUAACUUUCGAGUCCUUGUAGCACGCCAACAGCCUCAAAGCAAGAGGUCUUUGGUCUCUGCUUUCUAUCCUAUAUGCUAAAUUUCCGGUAAAAGCCUUGUCUGAGGUACCCAUCCCCACUUCUUGGUUCACAGUUGCAAUUCUGGAAUUCUGGAUCUCUUUUUUUUUGUUUUGUUUUUUUUUGAGACGGAGUCUCGCACUGUCGCCAGGCUGGAGUGCAGUGGAGCAAUCUCGGCUCACUUCAACCUCUGCCUCCCGGGUUCAAGUGAUUCUCCUGCCUCAGCCUCUCCAGUAGCUUGGACUACAGGCGCGCACCACCACGCCCAGCUAAUUUUUAUAUUUUUAGUAGAGACGGGGUUUCACCAUGUUGGCCAGGAUGGUCUCGAUCUCUUGACCUCUUGAUCCGCCCGCCUCGGCCUCCCAAAGUGCUGGGAUUACAGGCGUAAGCCACCAGCGCCCUGCCGGAACUCUUAAAUUCUGGUUCUUAAUUCCCACUCUUUUAAUUAAGCAACCUGGAAAGCAUGCUUUGCUGGCUCAUCUCCCCAAAAAUGUCCACAAAUUAUCCUUGUACUGUGUCCCUUGGAUAGUUUUUUUUUGGGGGGGGGGAAUGACAUUUUAAAAGUGACCAGAAAUUCCUGAACAAAGUAGUCAGCAAGAGUAAACUGGUGCAAGAAAGUCAGACUGGAUAAAGAAGAGAUCUGGCCUAGAACUGGAAGAAAGAUGAUAUUUUAAGGCAAGAAGCCAGCCCAACCCAAGAUAGCAGAGAUCCUGGAUUAUUUUGAGACAGACUUAGAAGGAUCCAUUUCAUGAAAAAUGUCCUAGAAAUAUGACAGUCAGACUCUCGUGUUAAAGGCCAUGUAGUCCAACCAUCCACUUGUGCUGAAAUCGCUCACAACAUCCCCACCAAGUGGUCGCCCUUGCCUACAUUCUUCUAUUUUCCGUUCUCCAGUGUUCUUCUAUCUUUUGGAGCUCUACAGAAGGCCAUGAAGCACACCAUCAGAUGUUUGAAGGUGGCACGUGGGGUGAUGGUGCUAAUAUCGCUAUACAAGCCAUGCAGGGCCCUUUCUUCAUUUUGCCCGUCUUUAAAGGGUGGAAGUUCUGGAGAGAGUCACUACAUAGAUAAUGUGAGGAGGAUCUCUGAUUCCCGCCAUGACAGAGUAACUGGAAAUGAACUUUCCUUCUCACCAUAAACAGCUAUAAAACUGGGAGAAAAUAUCCACGACACAUAUGUCUCACAAGAGACUUGUAUCCAGAAUUCUUAAAGAAUGCUUUCAAUAAUAAAAUGACAAAAAUUCCAAUUUAAAAAUGCAUAAAAUACUUGAAAAGAAUCAUGGUUACCAGGGGCUGGGGUGGUUGACAGGGGGUUGGGGAAAUGUUGGUCAAAGGACAUAAAAUUUGGUUGAAUAGGAGGGAUAAGUUCAAGAGAUCUAUUUUACAAUCUGGUGACUGUAGUUAGCAAUAUAUUGUAUUUUUGAAAAAUGCUAGGAGAAUGGAUGUAAAGUGUUCUCACCAUACAAAUGAAAACGAUGUGAGGUAAUGCAUGUGUUAAUUUGCUAUAUUUAGUCAUUCCACAAUGCAUAUAUACUUCAAAACAAUAUGUUGUACAAAGUAAAGGCAUAAAAUUUUAUCUGUCAAUUUAAAGUAAAUAAAUGAAUGAACAAAUGAAUAAAAAGACACUUCAUGAAAGAAAAUAUAUGACCGACAAGCACAUGAAAAGGGGUUCAACUUCAUCAGUUAUCAGAGAAAUACAAAUUAAAACCACAAUAUGAUACCACGUCACACCCACUAAAAUAGCCAAAAUUUAAGUCUAAUAACACUAAAGUUCGGUGAGGAUGGGGAGUAACUGAAAUUCAGCAUUGAUGUGGAAGUGUGAA